GACGAACGCUGGCGGCGUGCUUAACACAUGCAAGUCGAACGGACAGGCCCUGCUUUUGUGGGGUGCUCGAGUGGCGAACGGGUGAGUAACACGGGAGUAACCUUCCCUUGACUUCGGGAUAACUUCAGGAAACUGGGGCUAAUACCGGAUAGGCGCUCCUGCUGCAUGGUGGGGGUUGGAAAGGUUCGGCGGUUGGGGCUGGUCUCGCGGCUUAUCAGCUUGUUGGUGGGGUAGUGGCUUACCAAGGCUUUGACGGGUAGCCGGCCUGAGCGGGUGACCGGGCACAUUGGGACUGCGAUACGGAGCAGACGCCUACGGGAGGCAGCAGUGGAGAAUAUUGCGCAAUGGGCGGAAGCCUGAUGCAGCAGCGCCGGGUGCGGGAUGACGGCCUGCGGGGUGUAAACCGCUUUCGGCGGUGACGAAGCGUGAGUGACGGUAAUGGGUAAAGAAGCAACGGCUAACUACGUG
rnacentral:rRNA from 1 species